UGAGCAAUCUGCCCUUCUCUUUGGAAUAAGCGUUGGAACGACGUCUAAUGCCGAAUACGACCACCUUUCGCAUGAUCGGAGGUGGAAAGCUCCGGCGGAGAAGGAUGAGCUCCG
rnacentral:rRNA from 1 species